rnacentral:rRNA from 1 species
GUGGAUGAGGCAUGCAAGUCGAACGGUAUAGGGGCAACCCUAUAUAGUGGCGCAAGGGUUAGUAAUACAUAGGUAAUCUACCUCUGACUUGGGAAUAACGGCUGGAAACGGCCGCUAAUACCUAAUGAGGUGGCACAGGGCAUCCUGUGCUUAUCAACGCGGAGGAUCGUAAGACUUCGUGGUUAGAGAAGAGUCUAUGGGAUAUCAGCUAGUUGGUGAGGUAAUGGCUCACCAAGGCUAAGACGUCUAGGCGGAUUGAGAGAUUG